GGACAGUCAUCGCCGAGUCCCCGUACGGCGCGAGCCAGGGGAGCCGGGGACCCAACCGCAGUCCCUGGGGUGAAUCGGACGCCCGCGCGCGAGCGAGGGGGUCCGUAGGAGACCUUCCUGCUCCGAACCCGUCAGCUAACCCGGUAGGCGAGAGGGAAGGAAAGG
rnacentral:sRNA from 1 species